GGGUUGUGAGGUUAAGCGACUAAGCGUACACGGUGGAUGCCCUGGCAGUCAGAGGCGAUGAAGGACGUGCUAAUCUGCGAUAAGCGCCGGUAAGGUGAUAUGAACCGUUAUAACCGGCGAUUUCCGAAUGGGGAAACCCAGUGUGACUCGUCACACUAUCAUUAACUGAAUCCAUAGGUUAAUGAGGCGAACCGGGGGAACUGAAACAUCUAAGUACCCCGAGGAAAAGAAAUCAACCGAGAUUCCCCCAGUAGCGGCGAGCGAACGGGGAGGAGCCCAGAGCCUGAAUCAGCAUGUGUGUUAGUGGAAGCGUCUGGAAAGGCGCGCGAUACAGGGUGACAGCCCCGUACACAAAAGCGCAUGUGCUGUGAGCUCGAUGAGUAGGGCGGGACACGUGGUAUCCUGUCUGAAUAUGGGGGGACCAUCCUCCAAGGCUAAAUACUCCUGACUGACCGAUAGUGAACCAGUACCGUGAGGGAAAGGCGAAAAGAACCCCGGCGAGGGGAGUGAAAAAGAACCUGAAACCGUGUACGUACAAGCAGUGGGAGCCCCACCACUAAGCCAGUGGUGAACUCCACAUACGCAUCCUUUGCUGAGGAUACGGUUAACGGAGCGCAAGCGACGUUCAACCGCAAAAGAAGCAGAGGGGGCUUAGUGGUGGGGUGACUGCGUACCUUUUGUAUAAUGGGUCAGCGACUUAUAUUCUGUAGCAAGGUUAACCGAAUAGGGGAGCCGGAGGGAAACCGAGUCUUAAUUGGGCGUUAAGUUGCAGGGUAUAGACCCGAAACC
rnacentral:rRNA from 1 species